UUUAUAUUUCUAAUGAACUUAAUUUAUCUUACAUUUUCUGAAGUUCGAUCUAGGAUUUUCUUCCUUCUAGUCAAAUUUGAGAUCUAAGUUUUCAAAUCGAUUAUUAUUUUUCACUAAUGUAAUUAGAAUAUUACAUAUACAUAUACAUCUUCAUUUUUUCUUAAUGUUUGUGAUUCAUAAUGUGGCUUUUCUUUUGUUCACACUACAAACCCUUGUUUACACCUCCAAGGUUGAAUUUACAUAUAUGAUUUUUUCCCUCUUAUUUCAUAUUCCUAGAAUUUGGAUCCAUCUUUGAUUGCAUUUGAUUAAAUCAUACUUUGAUUAGAUAUAUUAUUUUGAAUAAUUUGAAUUUAUUUCAAGUCUAAAUCUCCAAAUUUUAUUAAGAAUAAUUUGGAUUUCAUUCUAAAUAAACUAGACUAUAUUUUACAUAUAUUAGCUCAUUUCUAAAUUAAAUGGAUUCAAAGAUUAUUUCUUGAGAUAAACUUUGACUCAAAAUAAAAGUUUUAGAUAAUAAACAAGACAUUUUCAAAUAAAUUUUUCAUAUUUUGAAUAGAUUGAAGGUACUUCAAAUAAUGUGGACAAGUUUCAAAUAAUUUGGACUUGAAGAAACAAAUUUGAAAAAUCUCAGUUAUAUUUUGGAUUUUGUUCGAAAGUAUAUGGAUUCAUUUCAAAUAUAUGAACAUAAUGAAUUAACCCAUUUUGAAUAAACUAGAUUUAGUUGUAGCACACCAAUAUUUAUGUAGAUUAAAUUGUAGUCAUUUAUGAGGUUAUAAAAUGCACCCCAUACCCACACCAUGCAAAGAGUACAACAAUAAGAGGCUUUGUAUGUAUGAGAUUGAAUCACAUAACAAAAUUCAAGAUUCCAAGGCUAGUUUCUUGUAGGUUUGUAAUAUAUUUCCACUAAUUUUACAUUAUAGAUAAAAGAGAAAGAGAGAAAUAGUGGAAAAAUAAUACUAAUCUAUGGAACGUGAUGGUCAAGAGUAAGAUUUUCUAUGUAUUGGUGUGAUAUGAUAAAACGCGAUCUAAUGUAAUCAAUAGAAGGGAAAUUGGGCUCAUUAAUGGUAACGAAAAUGUAAAUAUUCAUCCACAAAUAAUAACAUAAAUAGGUCAAAAAACUUAUUUUCAAAUUCAUAUAUUAAUAUUACAAAAGGCCACAUGCUUUGGACAAACCCAAGGUUUGAUUUUAGAUUCAAUGAACGAAGAAAUAUUAAGAAAUAUAGAUUAUGAACAAGGGUUACUACAAAACACAUGUAAUACUAAAUCUCAUAAACAUCAAGUAGGAAACUCUUAUUUAUAACAUAUAUUUCUAAUAGAACUUAGGUAAAAAUAAAAUAAGCAAUAAAUGUCCCAUGACUUGUAGGAUUGAUAUUUAGCUUUGGGUAGAUAACUAUAAAUGGAGGAAUAAUAUUAACAUCUCCACUUGAUGCAUACAAUCGCCUUCAUUAAGUCUAUAUAGUGGAGCACAAAUCUGCAUGUGUAGUUGCAUGUUACAUGCUAAACAUUGAAUAAAAUCUUAAUUACUCUGAUGAAUUUGGGAAACAUUGGUAGAAUAGAUUGUUUCAUUGGACAACUACUAUUACACAUCCCUCCUUCGCUCUUUAGUUAUUGAUUGAGUUCAUCUAAUGACCCUUGUGGCUUUAGCCUACCACUUUCAUUGUUACCAUCUAAAAACAUCAAGGGUUGAAUAAUCAUCCAACUCAUCUAUAAUCAAACAAUCCUAAUAUACUUACAUAUUUGUACUUAUCAAUAAAUAAAAAAAUUCAUGCGUCCACUAAGUAUGUUACUAUCCAAUAAUAACCUCCCAUCACAUAUUGUAUACUCACAAUAUGAUAAUUGAAACCGAGGCUUAUGUUGACUUACCAAUAUGCAACCACUCUUUAGAGCUCUUGAUUUACAACAAUCUCUCAAUCCAUAAGAACUCUUGAGGGACAUGCGAUCAACUUUCUAUUAGUGAUCAUCAUCAAAUAGGCCUCACUAUCACAAGAAAUUAAAACACUAAUAUGUUGUGAAGGCUUGAGAAUUAGAGGAUUGUGAAGUGAACAUGAAAGAUCUUUAUCAUACAUUUUCAACUUUGAUCAAGUGAUGGUAAUUAAUCAUAUCAUUAGGUAGUUCUCACUACCCAUAAAGUUCACUAAUUGUAACAACUUUUAAUAUUUCUAGAAUGUAGGAUUAGAAUCAUCAAUGAUAAUCACAACUCCAUUUUAUUAUCAUCAUCCCUACCCUAGACAAACUUAUCAAAUAUCAAAACCACUCAAACUAAGCUUAUAUAAAAAGAGCUAUAUAUAUUUAUACAUCUCAAACAAACAAUGAAGUUAUAAUAUAAAAUAUUUCAACUUAUGACUUAUGACUUGGCUCCAAUGAGAUUUUAUAUUAGUACAAAAGAAAAUAAAACCUAGUAAAAUAUAUUUGUUGUGUAACAUAUUCCUCUACAAUGAAAUUUUUAAAAUUGGAACAAUGACUGAUUGCAUGUAAUUGAUCAUUAAUUUUACAUGGCUACCUAUAGCUCUUUCUAAUCAUCCUUAGAUGACACAGGCAUUGGCUACCCAACAUGGAGGAUGCCUAUAUCCUAGGGCAUCUCCUUGUUGUAUGACACCUUGGGAUCCAUGUGCUCCUUGUGUCCAUGUCCUGUGUGUUUCUCUUGCCUUUGUCUUGUCGUGCCAUUGAUAAUAGUGUCGUCGAUUUCAAAGAGGACUCUCGUGGGUGGAUAAUGGAGAAAGAUUUUACUUUUAAUGGUUUCUUUUUAAAGCAGUGAUUCGGAAGGCUAUGUGUAAUUUUUUUUAACUUCUAUGUUUAAUUUUAUAUAUAUUAUAUUUAGAAUAUAUAAUAGGUUAUAAUUUUAGAACACACACACACACACACACACACACACACACACACACACACACACACACACACACACACACACACACACACACACACACACAUGUAUACCUAUAUAUACAUAUCUAUAUGGGUAAGUGCACCAAGAUGGUGAACAGAAAAGUGGCCACAAGCCAAAAAAAAUCCAAAUUUUUCAUAACCCGUGCGGGUUCUAAAAAUUCAAAAAUGUGCUAGGCUUGGUAACACCAAGUCUAGAGAAAAACAAUUUUAAAAACCAAAAGUUAGGAACAUUUUAUUUUUUAAUAAAAAAUUAAAAGUUUCUCAAAACCCGUGGAACAGCAGCAAGGAAAAUCCAAAAAAACAUAGAACCCGCAUAGGUUUGCAACUAUUUUGGAUUUUCCCAACAUUGAGAGCAAUUUUCAACAAUGGCACCCUGUCGAACAGGUAAGAUUUGAUUGGUUUGAUUAUUUUUGUUUGCAUUUUAAUUGAAGUAGGGUUUUUUAAUUGAUUUAAGUUUUGUUUUUAUUAAUUUGAUGUCAGAUUCUUCAAGAAAUCCCCCAAAAUGAAAUAGACAACAAAUAUCUCCUCCUGCACAAGCAACACAAGAAAACCCUGCAAACAUUGCACAAGAGCAACAAGAAAACCCUCAAAAUCCUCAAAAUGUUGCUCCUCAACAACCACCGCCACCCCAAAACCCUCCACGUCCUCCAUUAGAUCAUGUAGAUACCACACAAGAGGAUCUCAUCAAUCGCCUUACACAAAAUAGUGCCCAAAUUUCUAUAUUGGUGAAUAGGUUGAGGUCCUCUAGUCUUGAGCACCACUCAACCCUCGCCAGAACACUAGAAACAAUAGCUAAUAGUGCAAAUGAGGUAUCUAGGGAGGUUAUGAAAUGGGGUUCAUGGAGGGAUAGAUGUUGAAAAUUUUAUGUGGAUGGGUUGUCAUAUGAUCAAGUGAAGAAAAAGGGCAUAGGUAAAGCUAACAUAUGUGCUCUUUUCACCAAUCCUAUUACCAGUAACAACCUAGAGCUAAAUACGACUCAAUUUCCUAUACAUUGGUGUGUUCAUGCUAGGCUGAAAGAAGCUUUUUGGGAUAGGUGGUAUAUGGUCUUUGACCAACCACCUUAUAAUAAUUGGGAGGUGCCUCUAUAUUUUUUGAGAAAGUUGUAUUGUGAGUUUAUCCUCGGCGAGAAGCCAAAUUACUUUGACAUCCAACAAUUUCAGGGUAGAGGGAGAGGCUCUGCACAGGAUAGACAUGGGGCCCAUAGGGUGCUAGAGCCACAACAUAGGAGGCGUACAGCUCCUAAACCCAUGGUUCAUGUCAUUGUCCCUAUAUCCUUGAAGGAGUCUAUGGAAUUAUAGACUCUUCAGGCAGCUGCAUCAUUGACUGACGUCAUUGUUCAGCAUGGCACACAGUUGGUCGGAGCAGAGGAUGUACCAGCACCUGUGGCACCUCCUUCAUCAGAGACACCUUCUUCAUCAGCAGCACCUCAUGCAUCAUUUGGCACGAGCCAAUCCAUUCAGCAUAUGUGCCCCACCUGCCAAGGUGUAUGUUCCGGUGUAGACACUGACACGGACGAGGAUGGUUUGACAUCUCAUUCAUGUACAUGUUGCGGGAGUAGAUGCCAUGCUUCCACUGCAGAGGAUGUGGCCCUCACCGAUGAACUGAUCAAUAUGUUGUACCCUCUCUAUCAAACACAGGGUGCAACAGGUGGUGGGAGUACACCACAUACUUUUCAGUUGACUCCACAGUCACGAGUAGUUUCGCCACCAGAGGGUUUAUCAGUGGCUGAGAUGUCCCAACUUAAUGAUAUCACGCUUUCGGCCAUUGACUUUGGCCAAGAUAGCUAUGCGUUUACCCCACCUGCCUUGAGGACAUCUCGUCUAAGAAAGCCAUCCUCUAGCACUCUGAGGCAGAAAAAGAUAUCCUCUCGAACACCCAAAUGACAGAAGAAACAUAUGGGGUUUACGAAAUUAAUGAAUGCACCUGAUGUCGAUGAGGUUCAACAGAGGGAAGAGGUGAUAUCUUCAUAUUCACUUUGGAUUGCAUUCUUGCUUGUUCGAAAUAACUAAAUCCUUUUAUGUCUAUAUCAUAUGUUAUCAUUUUUCAUAUAGGAAAUGGUAAUAGCUGCAUCAGAUUUGACUAGGCCUCCUAAGGCUACAGGAGAACUAUACGAGGCUUCGGCCCCUUCCAAACUUCCUAAUGUUAUUCUACCAUUCCAUUUCAGUAUAAGUCCUACACGUAUAUUAUGGGAUCCAACAUGACCAAGGGAAAAGUUACAACCUCCUUCAAGACAUCCCACGGAUCCUCAGCCUCACCCAAUUGUAGAAGAUAGAGAUGAGCCACCUACAAAGCCACGUACUGCUUCGAAGAGGCUCAAUUUUUAUGAUCCACCACAGUCAUAGAUACCAAUAGAGACAUAUAGUUAUAGUUGUGGUCAUUGAAGGACCAAUUUUUUUAUAUAUUCGACAUUUGUAUAUGUAUAUAUCGACUUUGACAGACAUGGCACAUGCCACAUUUUUGUAACUAUUAUUGAUUUGGCAGCUAUG